AUACGUAGGUGACAAGCGUUAUCCGGAUUUACUGGGUGUAAAGGGCGUGUAGGCGGUUUAGCAAGUCAGAAGUGAAAUUCCCGGGCUUAACUUGGGCGCUGCUUCUGAAACUGCUUUACUUGAGUGCUGGAGAGGAUAGUGGAAUUCCUAGUGUAGCGGUAAAAUGCGCAGAUAUUAGGAGGAACACCGGUGGCGAGGGCGGCUAUCUGGACAGUAACUGUCGCUGAGGCGCGAAAGCACGGGGAGCAAACAGGAUUAUAUACCCUGGUAGUCCACGCUAUAAACGAUGAGUGCUAGGUGUCGGGGGUCGAACCUCGGUGCCGCAGUUAACACAUUAAGCACUCCGCCUGGGGAGUACGGUCGCAAGGCUGAAACUGAAAUGAAUUGACGGGG
rnacentral:rRNA from 1 species